CGACAUUGUUCGCUGGGUCAUUACUCCAUUUUCUCUCGUGGGAUGUGCACGCGGUCCGUUAUCGCUUACAACCGCCACGAUUACAGUAUGGACAGUCGUCGACGUGGUCGUUGGAGCACGCUGGAGUUUCAAUUAAAGUAUGGACAGUGGUUGCCUGAGAAGUACUACGUCACCUUCACGACAUGAGCUGGAGUUCGUCAGGACAUGCGGUGGUUAGAUACAUAGCUG